CCUACGGGCGGCAGCAGUGGGGAAUAUUGCACAAUGGGGGAAACCCUGAUGCAGCGACGCCGCGUGAGUGAAGAAGUAUUUCGGUAUGUAAAGCUCUAUCAGCAGGGAAGAAAAUGACGGUACCUGUUUAAGAAGCCACGGCUAACUACGUGCCAGCGGCCGCGGUAAUACGUAGGGGGCAAGCGUUAUACGGAUUUACGGGGUGUAAAGGGAGCGUAGACGGCAGCACAAGGCUGGAGUGAAAUGCCGGAGCUUAACCCCGGAACCGCUUUGGAGACUGUGCAGCUAGAGUGCAGGAGAGGUAAGUGGAAUUCCUAGUGUAGCGGUGAAAUGCGUAGAUAUUAGGAGGAACACCAGUGGCGAAGGCGGCUUACUGGACUGUAACUGACGUUGAGGCUCGAAAGCGUGGGGAGCAAACAGGAUUAGAUACCCUGGUAGUC
rnacentral:rRNA from 1 species